AACAAGGCGUACCUGCGGACCUGCGGAGGGAUCAUUACCGAGUGCGGGUCCCCUCGCGGGGCCCAACCUCCCACCCGUGUCUACCGUCACCUGUUGCUUCGGCGGGCCCGCCUUCGUGCCGCCGGGGGGCCCUCUGCGCCCCCGGGCCCGCGCCCGCCGAAGACUCUAGGAACACUGAAUGAAGGAUGCCGUCUGAGUCAAACGACACAAUCGUUAAAACUUUUAACAAUGGAUCUCAGA
rnacentral:misc_RNA from 1 species